rnacentral:rRNA from 1 species
GACGAAGGUGGCGAGCGUUGUUCGGAAUCACUGGGCGUAAAGCGCACGUAGGCGGCGACGUAAGUUGGGUGUGAAAUCCCUCGGCCCAACCGAGGAACUGCGCCCAGUACUGCGUUGCUUGAGGAUCCAAGGGGUGCAUGGAAUUCCCGGUGGAGCGGUGAAAUGCGUUGAUAUCGGGAGGAACUCCGGCGGCGAAAAGCGGUGCACUGGUGGAUUUCUGACGCUGAGGUGCGAAAGCCAGGGGAGCAAAACGGGG